AGAGUUUGAUUCUGGCUCAGGAUGAACGCUGGCGGUAUGCUUAACACAUGCAAGUCGAACGGAACCAUACGUGGUUGAGUGGCGGACGGGUGAGUAACGCGUGAGAAUCUGGCCUGAGGUCGGGGACAACCACUGGAAACGGUGGCUAAUACCGGAUAAGCCUGAGGGUGAAAGAGAAAUUGCCACAGGGGGAGCUCGCGUCUGAUUAGCUAGUUGGUGGGGUAAGAGCCUACCAAGGCGACGAUCAGUAACUGGUCUGAGAGGACGAGCAGUCACACUGGGACUGAGACACGGCCCAGACUCCUACGGGAGGCAGCAGUGGGGAAUUUUCCGCAAUGGGCGAAAGCCUGACGGAGCAAUACCGCGUGAGGGAGGAAGGCUUUAGGGUUGUAAACCUCUUUUCUUAGGGAAGAAAAAAUGACGGUACCUAAGGAAUAAGCAUCGGCUAACUCCGUGCCAGCAGCCGCGGUAAUACGGAGGAUGCAAGCGUUAUCCGGAAUGAUUGGGCGUAAAGCGUCCGCAGGUGGCAAUACAAGUCUGCUGUCAAAGGUCAAGGCUCAACUUUGGACAGGCAGUGGAAACUGUAUAGCUAGAGUGCGGUGGGGGCAGAGGGAAUUCCCAG
rnacentral:rRNA from 1 species